GGGAUUGCCCUAGUAACGGCGAGUGAAGCGGCAACAGCUCAAAUUUGAAAUCUGGCGCAAGCCCGAGUUGUAAUUUGUAGAGGAUGCUUCUGGGCAGCGGCCGGUCUAAGUUCCUUGGAACAGGACGUCAUAGAGGGUGAGAAUCCCGUAUGUGACUGGCGCGCACCCUCCACGUAGCUCCUUCGACGAGUCGAGUUGUUUGGGAAUGCAGCUCUAAAUGGGAGGUAAAUUUCUUCUAAAGCUAAAUACCGGCCAGAGACCGAUAGCGCACAAGUAGAGUGAUCGAAAGAUGAAAAGCACUUUGGAAAGAGAGUUAAAAAGCACGUGAAAUUGUUGAAAGGGAAGCGCCUACAACCAGACUUCGCGGCAGUGUUCCGCCGGUCUUCUGACCGGUCCACUCUCUGUCGCGAGGCCAUCAUCGUCUGGGCCCGUCGGAUAAGACCUUGGGAAUGUAGCUCACCUUCGGGGGAGUGUUAUAGCCCAUGGUGAUGCGACGCGGCCCGGGCGAGGUCCGCGCUUCGGCAAGGAUGAUGGCGUAAUGGUUGUCGGCGGCCCGUCUUGAAACACGGACCAAGGAGUCUAACAUCUAUGCGAGUGUUCGGGUGUCAAACCCCUACGCGUAAUGAAAGUGAACGGAGGUGGGAACCGCAAGGUGCACCAUCGACCGAUCCUGAUGUCCUCGGAUGGAUUUGAGUAAGAGCAUAGCUGUUGGGACCCGAAAGAUGGUGAACUAUGCCUGAAUAGGGUGAAGCCAGAGGAAACUCUGGUGGAGGCUCGCAGCGGUUCUGACGUGCAAAUCGAUCGUCAAAUUUGGGUAUAGGGGCG
rnacentral:rRNA from 1 species